GGGAGGCAGCAGUGGGGAAUAUUGCACAAUGGGCGCAAGCCUGAUGCAGCCAUGCCGCGUGUGUGAAGAAGGCCUUCGGGUUGUAAAGCACUUUCAGUCGUGAGGAAAGGUUAAAGGUUAAUACCCGUUACCUGUGACGUUACUGACAGAAGAAGCACCGGCUAACUCCGUGCCAGCAGCCGCGGUAAUACGGAGGGUGCGAGCGUUAAUCGGAAUUACUGGGCGUAAAGCGUACGCAGGCGGUUUGUUAAGCGAGAUGUGAAAGCCCCGGGCUCAACCUGGGAACUGCAUUUCAAACUGGCGAACUAGAGUGUGAUAGAGGGUGGUAGAAUUUCAGGUGUAGCGGUGAAAUGCGUAGAGAUCUGAAGGAAUACCGAUGGCGAAGGCAGCCACCUGGGUCAACACUGACGCUCAUAUACGAAAGCAUGGGUAGCGAACAGGAUUA
rnacentral:rRNA from 1 species